UUACCAAAGUAUUUGAACACUCAAUUACUCGCUAUCUCGGUACUACCCAAACAAUACUUAGCGAGACUAUCUUUAACACAAAUUAUAUGCUCAAGGCUACGACUCGUGCGGUAUAUAUUAACAUUCUAUGAAAUACAUAUUUCUGAUAAAUAUCUUCCAACUUCUAUAUAAAUUGUCAGAUCGGUUUCAAAUUUGACCAGUAUAAUCGGAGCAGACGUAUCCCGUUACAUUGAAAUUUCGAAAUGUAUUAUGCAACACGUACACGAUAUACGCAUACAUCAAUGUUUCCUAUCGCGAGUGUUCAAAUUACUUUCGUCGGCUACUGUAUAUGUGCGAGCGACAAAGUAAAUCUGUAUUCAUAGAGCACGACAGGACGACGAGAGGCGAUUCAAUAGACCAGCCACGGACGAGUCGAACAAAUCGAACGGAGGAUGCUUUAUAUAGCGAAAGAACGCGUAUAUCGCGUAUUGCGUCUUCGAAUGGACAGUCCUCGGACGGAAACCGCGUCGCGUUGAUUUAUAAUGCGAUACCUAUUGACGGCUGUCCAUGGAAAACAAGGUGCGUGUGUAAGGCCUUACACGUAUACACGUAAAUGAAUGUGUCUGUAUGCAAGGUUAUUGUGCGAAGUGUUCAGUUGAAAUCUGGGGUAAAAUAACCAGACGUCUAUAAUGCCGCUGUCCGCAAGAGACUCAAAGGGGAGAUGGAUUUACUUGGCUUAUUCCGAAAUUGGGUAUCGGUAAAAAAGUAGCGAAAAGAAGCAAUCGACGGAAGCCAAUUUAUCGUUGAUCGAAGUCGAUCUACGUGAGAAAUAACAAACGAAACAGCGAAAAAAGGAUUUGAGUAACCGCAAUGUGGAUAACUUAUCGGAAGUAAAACUUGCAGCGAAGAAAAAAUGGAAAAGUAAAAAGACUGGAAGAUAAAGUCGUGACGAAUGGAAAAAAGGUCUGGUGCAUCGACAAUGAUCAUGUUACUACGUCGGAAAUUCUGUCUUCAAUUGAAGAUAACAUCUACUACUGCCUACGAUCGUGCGGUAAGUUGCUUAAGUUGCAAAGCAAGAAACUGCACAGGGGAAUCACGUGCAACGUGAUUAGGAAAUUUUCCUUGGAGAACAAAUCAGAAGGAAAUGGUAGCUGACGAGUUUAAGUUAAACGAACCUAAUGUUACGUUUACGAGGAAUAAAUGUCUCAAUUAAGAAAAAGGUUUAUUCUGUUGAUAAAACAAGCGCGAAAGAAUACACAAUUAGAGAAUCGUAUAUUUACUGUCUAUGUAUUAUCUUGAUUAUUAAAAUACC